CCGCACGCGCGCUACACUGAUGCGUUCAGCGAGUAUACAACCUUGAUCGAUAGGUCUGGGUAAUCUUGUGAAUGCGCAUCGUGCUAGGGAUAGAUUGUUGCAAUUCUCAAUCUUGAACGAGGAAUUCCUAGUAAACGCAAGUCAUCAGCUUGCAUUGAUUACGU
rnacentral:rRNA from 1 species